CCAUUCUCCAUGCCCCAAGAGUAAGAAACCCUAGGGUUUCUUGCCGCCAGGUCCCAAAAAGGAAAGAAAAGCAAGGAGGCGCUAGCCCCUUCCCCCUUGCAGCCGCCAGCCAUUUUCUUCUCUCCCUCUCUUGCAGCCACCCAAGCAUCAGGUCCAGGACUUAGAAUCUCUUAAGAAGAGGUUGAUACAAGUCUCUUUCAGAUCUGAAGUUGAUCUGAGGUCGUUUGAGGUGC
rnacentral:lncRNA from 1 species